UGGCUCUGGCAUCGAUGAAGAACGCAGCGAAAUGCGAUAAGUAAUGUGAACUGCAGAAUUCAGCGAAUCAUCGAAUCUUUGAACGCACAUUGCGCCCGCCAGCAUUCUGGCGGGCAUGCCUGUCCGAGCGUCAUUUCAACCCUCAGUGAACCCCUUCGCGGGGGGGAACUGGUGUUGGGGGCCGGCCGCCCACGCGCGCCGCCCCCGAAAUGCAGUGGCGACCUCGCCGCAGCCUCCCCUGCGUAGUAGCACAACCUCGCACCGGAGCGCGGAGACGGUCACGCCGUAAAACGCCCAACUUUCAAGAGUCGACCUCGGAUCAGGUAGGAAUACCCGCUGA
rnacentral:misc_RNA from 1 species